rnacentral:rRNA from 1 species
CCUACGGGAGGCAGCAGUGGGGAAUCUUAGACAAGGCAGCAGUGGGGAAUCCUGCACAAUGGGCGAAAGCAUGAAGCCGCUAUGCCGCGUGAGUGAUGAAGCCCUGAGGGAUGUAAACCCCGUUCAUCCGGGAAGACUGACGGUACCGGCAGAAGAAGCACUGUUAGCACCG